rnacentral:rRNA from 1 species
ACGGGUGAGGAAUACAUCGGAAUUUGCCCUGUCGUGGGGGAUAACGUAGGGAAACUUACGCUAAUACCGCAUACGACCUAACGGUGAAAGCGGGGGAUCGCAAGACCUCGCGCGGUUGGAUAAGCCGAUGUCAGAUUAGCUAGUUGGCGGGGUAAAGGCCCACCAAGGCGACGAUCUGUAGCUGGUCUGAGAGGAUGAUCAGCCACACUGGGACUGAGACACGGCCCAGACUCCUACGGGAGGCAGCAGUGGGGAAUAUUGGACAAUGGGGGCAACCCUGAUCCAGCAAUGCCGCGUGUGUGAAGAAGGCCUUCGGGUUGUAAAGCACUUUUAUCAGGAGCGAAACACGUAAGGUUAAUAACCUUGCGGACUGACGGUACCUGAGGAAUAAGCACCGGCUAACUUCGUGCCAGCAGCCGCGGUAAUACGAAGGGUGCAAGCGUUACUCGGAAUUACUGGGCGUAAAGCGUGCGUAGGUGGUUUCUUAAGUCUGCUGUGAAAGCCCCGGGCUCAACCUGGGAAUUGCAGUGGAUACUGGGGAGCUAGAGUGCGGUAGAGGGUAGUGGAAUUCCCGGUGUAGCG